rnacentral:sRNA from 1 species
AUUAAAAGUUAAGUAUUACAAUUUUUCACACUUUU